UGGGGAAUAUUGCACAAUGGGCGCAAGCCUGAUGCAGCCAUGCCGCGUGUGUGAAGAAGGCCUUCGGGUUGUAAAGCACUUUCAGCGAGGAGGAAGGUGGUGAGCUUAAUACGCUNAUCAAUUGACGUUACUCGCAGAAGAAGCACCGGCUAACUCCGUGCCAGCAGCCGCGGUAAUACGGAGGGUGCAAGCGUUAAUCGGAAUUACUGGGCGUAAAGCGCACGCAGGCGGUUUGUUAAGUCAGAUGUGAAAUCCCCGGGCUCAACCUGGGAACUGCAUUUGAAACUGGCAAGCUAGAGUCUCGUAGAGGGGGGUAGAAUUCCAGGUGUAGCGGUGAAAUGCGUAGAGAUCUGGAGGAAUACCGGUGGCGAAGCGGCCCCCCUGGACGAAGACUGACGCUCAGGUGCGAAAGCGUGGGGCAGCAAACAGGAUUAGAUACCCUGGUAGUCCACGUUGUAAACGAUGUC
rnacentral:rRNA from 1 species